rnacentral:rRNA from 1 species
CGCAAUGGACGAAAGUCUGACGGACAACGCCGCGUGAGCGAUGAAGGCUUUCGGGUCGUAAAGUUCUGUUGUCAGGGAAGAACAAGUACAGGAGUAACUGCCGGUCCUUGACGGUACCUGACCAGAAAGCCACGGCUAACUACGUGCCACAGCCGCGGUAAUACGUAGUGGCAAGCGUUGUCCGGAAUUAUUGGGCGUAAAGCGCGCGCAGGCGGUUCCUUAAUCUGAUGUGAAAGCCCCCGGCUCAACCGGGGAGGGUCAUUGGAAACUGGGGAAC